rnacentral:rRNA from 1 species
CCUACGGGAGGCAGCAGUGGGGAAUAUUGCACAAUGGGGGAAACCCUGAUGCAGCGACGCCGCGUGAGUGAAGAAGUAUCUCGGUACGUAAAGCUCUAUCAGCAGGGAAGAAAAUGACGGUACCUGACUAAGCAGCCCCGGCUCCCUACGUUCCAGCAGCCGCGGUAAUACGUAGGGGGCAAGCGUUAUCCGGAUUUACUGGGUGUAAAGGGAGCGUAGACGGCAGCACAAGUCUGGAGUGAAAUCCCGGGGCUUAACCCCGGAACUGCUUUGGAAACUGUGCGGCUGGAGUGCAGGAGGGGUAAGCGGAAUGCCUAGUGUAGCGGUGAAAUGCGUAGAUAUUAGGAGGAACACCGGUGGCGAAGGCGGCUUACUGGACGGUAACUGACGUUGAGGCUCGAAAGCGUGGGGAGCAAACAGGAUUAGAUACCCUUGUAGUC